AUACGGAGGAUGCGAGCGUUAUCCGGAUUUAUUGGGUUUAAAGGGUGCGUAGGCGGAUCAAUAAGUCAGUGGUGAAAUUCUGCAGCUUAACUGUAGACUUGCCAUUGAUACUGUUGGUCUUGAGUAUGGUCAAGGUAGGCGGAAUGUGUAAUGUAGCGGUGAAAUGCUUAGAUAUUACACAGAACACCGAUUGCGAAGGCAGCUUGCUGGGCCAAUACUGACGCUGAUGCACGAAAGCGUGGGGAGUC
rnacentral:rRNA from 1 species